CAAGGGGUGUCAGCAGCGCUGACUGAGAUGUCGAUAGACGAACCCUUAGAACCUGAUCCGGCUUAUACCGGCGUAGGAAUGGUGUGUUU
rnacentral:ncRNA from 1 species